GACGUAGGAUGCAAGCGCUGUCCGGAAUUAUUGGGCGUAAAGAGUUCGUAGGCGGUUUGUUAAGUCUGGUGUUAAAGACGGGAGCUCAACUCCCGCAUGGCAUCGGAUACUGGCAGGCUAGAGUGUGGUAGAGGUCUCGGGAAUUCCAGGUGUAGCGGUGAAAUGCGUAGAUAUCUGGAGGAACACCGGUGGCGAAAGCGCGAGACUGGGCCAUAACUGACGCUCAGGCACGAAAGCGUGGGGAGCAAAAGGG
rnacentral:rRNA from 1 species